rnacentral:rRNA from 1 species
AUUGAACGCUGGCGGCAGGCCUAACACAUGCAAGUCGAGCGGAUGAAGGGAGCUUGCUCCUGGAUUCAGCGGCGGACGGGUGAGUAAUGCCUAGGAAUCUGCCUGGUAGUGGGGGAUAACGUCCGGAAACGGGCGCUAAUACCGCAUACGCCCUGAGGGAGAAAGUGGGGGAUCUUCGGACCUCACGACAUCAGAUGAGCCUAGGUCGGAUUAGCUAGUUGGUGGGGUAAAGGCCUACCAAGGCGACGAUCCGUAACUGGUCUGAGAGGAUGAUCAGUCACACUGGAACUGAGACACGGUCCAGACUCCUACGGGAGGCAGCAGUGGGGAAUAUUGGACAAUGGGCGAAAGCCUGAUCCAGCCAUGCCGCGUGUGUGAAGAAGGUCUUCGGAUUGUAAAGCACUUUAAGUUGGGAGGAAGGGCAGUAAGUUAAUACCUUGCUGUUUUGACGUUACCAACAGAAUAAGCACCGGCUAACUUCGUG